rnacentral:rRNA from 1 species
UACAGGGGGAGCAAGCGUUAUCCGGAAUGAUUGGGCGUAAAGAGUUUGUAGGUGGCUUGUAAAGUCUACUGUCAAAUAUCAGGGCUUAACCCUGAACCGGCAGUGGAGUACUCACAAGCUUGAGUGUGGUAGAGGUAGAGGGAAUUCCCGGUGUAGCGGUGAAAUGCGUAGAGAUCGGGAAGAACAUCGGUGGCGAAGGCGCUCUACUGGACCACAACUGACACUCAGGGACGAAAGCUAGGGGAGCGAAUGGG